rnacentral:rRNA from 1 species
AGAGUUUGAUCCUGGCUCAGAGCGAACGCUGGCGGCAGGCCUAAAACAUGCAAGUCGAACGCCCGUAGCAAUACGGGAGUGGCAGACGGGUGAGUAACACGUGGGAACGUGCCCUUUGGUCCGGAACAACCCAGGGAAACUUGGGCUAAUACCGGAUAAGCCCUUACGGGGAAAGAUUUAUCGCCAAAGGAUCGGCCCGCGUCUGAUUAGCUAGUUGGUGAGGUAACGGCUCACCAAGGCUACGAUCAGUAGCUGGUCUGAGAGGAUGAUCAGCCUCACUGGGACUGAGACACGGCCCAGACUCCUACGGGAGGCAGCAGUGGGGAAUAUUGGACAAUGGGCGCAAGCCUGAUCCAGCCAUGCCGCGUGGGUGAUGAAGGCCCUAGGGUUGUAAAGCCCUUUCGGCGGGGAAGAUAAUGACGGUACCCGCAGAAGAAGCCCCGGCUAACUUCGUGCCAGCAGCGGCGGUAAUAC